rnacentral:rRNA from 1 species
UUGUUGGUAAGGUAAAAGCUUACCAAGGCUUCGAUCAGUAGCUGGUCUGAGAGGACGACCAGCCACACUGGGACUGAGACACGGCCCAGACUCCUACGGGAGGCAGCAGUGGGGAAUUUUGGACAAUGGGGGCAACCCUGAUCCAGCCAUGCCGCGUGAGUGAAGAAGGCCUUCGGGUUGUAAAGCUCUUUCAGCCGGAACGAAACGGUUACGGUUAACACCCGUGACUACUGACGGUACCGGAAGAAGAAGCACCGGCUAACUACGUGCCAGCAGCCGCGGUAAUACGUAGGGUGCGAGCGUUAAUCGGAAUUACUGGGCGUAAAGCGUGCGCAGGUGGUUUUGUAAGUCAGAUGUGAAAGCCCCGGGCUCAACCUGGGAACUGCGUUUGAAACUACAAGACUAGAGUGUGGCAGAGGGGGGUGGAACUCCGCGUGUAGCAGUGAAAUGCGUAGAGAUGUGGAGGAACACCGAUGGCGAAGGCAGCCCCCUGGGUCAACACUGACGCUCAGGCACGAAAGCAUGGGGAGCAAACAGGAUUAGAUACCCUGGUAGUCCAUGCCCUAAACGAUGUCAACUAGUUGUCGGGCCUUUACGGGCUUGGUAACGUAGCUAACGCGUGAAGUUGACCGCCUGGGGAGUACGAUCGCAAGAUUAAAACUCAAAUGAAUUGACGGGGACCCGCACAAGCGGUGGAUUAUGUGGAUUAAUUCGAUGCAACGCGAAAAACCUUACCUACCCUUGACAUGUAUCGAAGCCCGCAGAAAAGCGGGGGUGCCCGAAAGGGAACGAUAACACAGGUGCUGCAUGGCUGUCGUCAGCUCGUGUCGUGAGAUGUUGGGUUAAGUCCCGCAACGAGCGCAACCCUUGUCAUUAAUUGCCAUCAUUUAGUUGGGCACUUUAAUGAGACUGCCGG